rnacentral:rRNA from 1 species
GCAUAUCAAUAAGCGGAGGAAAAGAAACCCAACAGGGAUUGCCCCAGUAACGGCGAGUGAAGCGGCAACAGCUCAAAUUUGAAAUCUGGCCCCCAGGGUCCGAGUUGUAAUUUGCAGAGGAUGAUUUUGGCGAGGUGCCUUCCGAGUUCCCUGGAACGGGACGCCACAGAGGGUGAGAGCCCCGUCUGGUUGGACGCCGAGCCUAUGUAAAUCUCCUUCGACGAGUCGAGUAGUUUGGGAAUGCUGCUCUAAAUGGGAGGUAUAUGUCUUCUAAAGCUAAAUAUUGGCCAGAGACCGAUAGCGCACAAGUAGAGUGAUCGAAAGAUGAAAAGCACUUUGAAAAGAGGGUUAAAUAGUACGUGAAAUUGUUGAAAGGGAAGCGCUCAUGACCAGACUUGGGCCCGGUGAAUCAUCCAGCGUUCUCGCUGGUGCACUUUGCCGGGCACAGGCCAGCAUCAGUUUGCCCUGGGGGAUAAAGGCUUUGGGAAUGUGGCUCCUCCGGGAGUGUUAUAGCCCAUUGCAUAAUAUCCUGGGGCGGACUGAGGUUCGCGCAUCUGCAAGGAUGCUGGCGUAAUGGUCAUCAGCGACCCGUCUUGAAACACGGACCAAGGAGUCGUCUUCGUAUGCGAGUGUUCGGGUGUAAAACCCCUACGCGUAAUGAAAGUGAACGCAGGUGAGAGCUUCGGCGCAUCAUCGACCGAUCCUGAUGUUCUCGGAUGGAUUUGAGUAAGAGCAUACGGGGCCGGACCCGAAAGAAGGUGAACUAUGCCUGUAUAGGGUGAAGCCAGAGGAAACUCUGGUGGAGGCUCGCAGCGGUUCUGACGUGCAAAUCGAUCGUCAAAUAUGGGCAUGGGGGGCGAAAGACUAAUCGAACCUUCUAGUAGCUGGGUUUCCGCGA